rnacentral:rRNA from 1 species
AACGAACGCUGGCGGCAUGCCUAACACAUGCAAGUCGAGCGAGUCCUUCGGGUCUAGUGGCGCACGGGUCCGUAACGCGUUGGAAUCUGCCCUUCGGUUGGGAAUAACUGAGAGAAAUUUCAGCUAAUACCUUAUAAUGUCUUCGGACCAAAGAUUUAUCGCCGAGGGAUGAGCCCGCGUAGGAUUAGGUAGUUGGUGGGGUAAUGGGCUACCACUCCGACGAUCCUUAACUGGUCUGAGAGGAUGAUCAGCCACACUGGUACUGAGACACGGCCCAGACUCCUACGGGAGGGAGCAGUGGGGAAUAUUGGACAAUGGGCGAAAGCCUGAACCAGCAAUGCCGCGUGAGUGAUGAAGGCCUUAGGGUUGGAAAGCUCUUUUACCCGGGAUUAUAAUGACAUUACCGGGAGAAUAAGCUCCGGCUAACUCCGUG